CCAUGGACCCUCACAUUACCAUUUUGGUGUGCCAACAGAUCUGCCAGAGAGCACCAUUUGAAAACCCAACCUCUCUGAAAUGCCACCUUUUACUCAUGAAGGCUUCAUAGUCAAUAUUUCUUUGGGACUUUAUUUCUGGCUUUGAUUUGGUGGACUGAAUUAAGCAAUGUUAAGAUUCUACAUCAUAUUAACACCUGGAAUUCUUCUCACUGGGCUGGUAGUUAAAAGCUCUUCAAUCCGUUUCUCUUUCCUUGUUAAUGAUAGAAUGGGAACCUUUAAAGAAUAUACAUGAAACUCCUCAUUAAUCAUUUGCUUCAAAGUUGGCAAAGGCAAUAACUUCACUCAUUGGCAUGAAUUUGCCCAAUUAAUCUGCAGGAAUUUCCAUGUCUGGUGAUUAUUUCCUGGGAUUGGUUUUCACAUGGUAUGCCCUCCUGGGAUGUUUCUUAGAACACAACUUAGACUGCAAGCCUUUCAACCUCAUGGGAUUUGUAUUUGGGCUUCUUUUCUGCAGGCUUUUACCCUGUGGUUCUCACUGGAACUCAUGUAUGUCAUUGGGGCUUUUAUUUUCACCCAACUUCCUCCUGGGCUUUUACAUCUGUGGCUGGGAAUGGCUAACUGCAUAAUCUCAGAAGUGAGUGACUCUGCAUUUACAUCCAUUGAUUUCACCUCAUAGUUCCCAGACCAAAAUGAAGUCUUCAGCUACUGCAAAGGACUCCCCAAAACGUCCUUGAGAUUGUGCUCAAUGAUGCAAGGGCUGUUCUGAGCCCUCACAGAGAAAACACAACUACAAAAAGGCUGUGGCGAGUAACGAAGAGUGAAAUCAAUCCAGACCCCCCUAUAAGAUGUGGGUUCUUCAGAGAGAAAUAAAAACCUGUUGGGUUGCUUGUCCUUACUGCCU
rnacentral:lncRNA from 12 species